GACGAACGCUGGCGGCGUGCCUAAUACAUGCAAGUAGAACGCUGAAGGAGGAGCUUGCUUCUCUGGAUGAGUUGCGAACGGGUGAGUAACGCGUAGGUAACCUGCCUGGUAGCGGGGGAUAACUAUUGGAAACGAUAGCUAAUACCGCAUAAUAGUAGAUGUUGCAUGACAUUUGCUUAAAGGUGCAAUUGCAUCACUACCAGAUGGACCUGCGUUGUAUUAGCUAGUUGGUGGGGUAACGGCUCACCAAGGCGACGAUACAUAGCCGACCUGAGAGGGUGAUCGGCCACACUGGGACUGAGACACGGCCCAGACUCCUACGGGAGGCAGCAGUAGGGAAUCUUCGGCAAUGGACGGAAGUCUGACCGAGCAACGCCGCGUGAGUGAAGAAGGUUUUCGGAUCGUAAAGCUCUGUUGUAAGAGAAGAACGAGUGUGAGAGUGGAAAGUUCACACUGUGACGGUAUCUUACCAGAAAGGGACGGCUAACUACGUG
rnacentral:rRNA from 1 species